UACGGAGAGUGCAAACGUUGUUCGGAUUCACUGGGCGUAAAGGGCACGUAGGCGGCUUGGCAAAUCUGUCGUGGAAUCCCGACGCUUACCGUCGGAACGGCGGCCGAAAAUACCGAGCUCGAGGGCGUGAGGGGUGACUGGAACUCCUGGUGGAGCGGUGAAAUGCGUAGAUAUCUGGAGGAACACCGGUGGCGAAGGCGGCAUCCUGGACCGGUAUUGACGCUGAGGAGCGAAAGCCAGGGGAGCAAACGGG
rnacentral:rRNA from 1 species